GUGGGGAAUCUUGCGCAAUGGGCGAAAGCCUGACGCAGCCAUGCCGCGUGAAUGAUGAAGGUCUUAGGAUUGUAAAAUUCUUUCACCGGGGACGAUAAUGACGGUACCCGGAGAAGAAGCUCCGGCUAACUUCGUGCCAGCAGCCGCGGUAAUACGAAGGGGGCUAGCGUUGCUCGGAAUUACUGGGCGUAAAGGGCGCGUAGGCGGACAGAUUAGUCAGAGGUGAAAGCCCAGGGCUCAACCUUGGAAUUGCCUUUGAUACUGGCUGUCUUGAGUUUGAGAGAGGUGAGUGGAACUCCGAGUGUAGAGGUGAAAUUCGUAGAUAUUCGGAAGAACACCAGUGGCGAAGGCGACUCACUGGCCCAAUACUGACGCUGACGCGCGCAAGCGUGGAGAGCAAACAGGAUUAGAAACCCUGGUAGUCC
rnacentral:rRNA from 1 species